CACGGAAGUCCACCUUCGUUGAGAUUGCCGAGACUAUAAACCCCGUCCAACAAAGAUAUUCAUGUUUCGUACGAAUGAACAAUUGAUGUUACUCGCACGAACAGAAGAUUAUCAGAUAUUGUUGGCGAAUUAAGGGGCAUCAAAACCAUCUGGAACAAUGAAACCCAUAACGUUAUAAUGGAGAUCCUAAGAAUUGAGAGGAUGAGAAUGAGAAAGCAAGCUUUCCAUGAAGAGUUUCAGAGAAAAAAAGGAAUAGUUUGUAAUAAAGAUACAACCCCGCACAACUUAUGGAAGCAUCUGUUGAAGACAUAAAUGCUAGAUCACUGCCACAAAACUUAAAGGAUUUAGUACGCAGAACCUACACUUUCAAGUUAAAGCUGUUCGAAUUCAACUUCUCUUCUAAACAUCAGUCUUUUACCAUAGCAAGAAUCUUUGAUGACAAUGAACGUCAGCCCCUGAAAACUUUGCGGUACAUAGAGGAACCAUUGCUCUGGAGCUGUGAAAACUAAGGCCUCCAUUGUGCGACCAGAGAAGCCCCUAAGACCAACGGUGGGAUUGAUGUUGUUGGGAUGGUUGAAGGAACUGCAGCUGCCACUCCAACUUUACCUGCUCACAUGGAAUUAAGGCUGACAUGAUUCCUCUUCCUGAAGAGGUGUGCGCUGGGAAUUCCAUUGACUAUAAGACAGAUGUUGGAAAAGAACAGUAUGAAAAGUUGGUUGGGGAUGACACAAACUAGACUGUCUCUUCAUCUAAGCUUCUUCAUGCACAGAAAAUAGAACCUCUUAUCGUUCUGAGCUCAACUGAUACGUUAUCACAUCUGAACCUCAGAUAAUAGAGUUCCUCUGUACGCCAAAGUUACUGGAAUUCAGGCAAAUUCAGGCAGAGAAAUGAUGGUGUUAUAUUGGUUGCUCAAAAUGUUCGAAGAAGCUCCAGCGAAAUGUUGUGUCUGAGACACCCCGCAAAUGUUUGAGACAAACGACUGUUGUUAGUUUAUUUCACUAUGUAUCUCUACAGACUCAGAGGUUUGUAUUGACAAGC